CCGCCCACGGCUUCGGCCACGUGAACACUCUGAGCAGGUCGUCUCCUGUAGGGGCGUGUGCGUUCCUGGGGCUGACGCUGUUCGGGCUCUCCAUAGCGGCGGUCGGGGUAGCCAGGAUCAGCCUGGAUCACUUUUCGGGAAAUAGAACGUUCAGUCAGGUCGUCUUAAAGCAGGCAGGCCCGGGGGGGAAGGCGAUGCCCACAGUGAUGGUGUGCAACUCUGGCAUCUUCAGGAACGAAAUCCUUGAGGAUAACCUUGUAGACAAAGACGUGUUGAACUUCAUCGUCGCUAGUCUGAAGGGGCCCCUGAUGGUGACAGAUUCAUUCCGAAGCAACGAGACGCUUCAGAAACAGCUUCGAAAUUCUUACGACGAAUUCGUUGCUGGUUUUGACGGCGACUUUCAUGAAAAUGCUUUUG